rnacentral:rRNA from 1 species
AACGCGAAGAACCUUACCCACGUUUGACAUGUCCCGUAUGGUCGUCAGAGAUGACUUCCUUCAGUUCGGCUGGCGGGAACACAGGUGCUGCAUGGCUGUCGUCAGCUCGUGUCGUGAGAUGUUGGGUUAAGUCCCGCAACGAGCGCAACCCUCGCUACUAGUUGCCAUCAGGUCAAGCUGGGCACUCUAGUGGAACUGCCGGUGGCAAGCCGGAGGAAGGUGGGGAUGACGUCAAGUCCUCAUGGCCCUUACGCGUGGGGCUACACACGUGCUACAAUGGCGGUGACAGAGGGUUAAUCCCUAAAAGCCGUCUCAGUUCGGAUUGUCCUCUGCAACUCGAGGGCAUGAAGCUGGAAUCGCUAGUAAUCGUAGAUCAGCGUGCUACGGUGAAUACGUUCCCGGGCCUGUACACACCG